rnacentral:rRNA from 1 species
UACAGAGGUCUCAAGCGUUGUUCGGAUUCAUUGGGCGUAAAGCGAGCGUAGGCGGCCCGAUAAGUCUGCUGUAAAAGUCAACGGCUCAACCGUUGAAAGCCGGUGGAUACUGUCGGGCUAGAGUUCGGAAGAGGCAAGUGGAAUUCCCGGUGUAGCGGUGAAAUGCGCAGAUAUCGGGAGGAACACCAAUGGCGAAGGCAGCUUGCUGGGACGGUACUGACGCUGAGGCGCGAAAGCGUGGGGAGCAAACAGGG